rnacentral:rRNA from 1 species
AUGCUGGAGGUAUCAGAAGUGCGAAUGCUGACAUAAGUAACGAUAAAGCGGGUGAAAAGCCCGCUCGCCGGAAGACCAAGGGUUCCUGUCCAACGUUAAUCGGGGCAGGGUGAGUCGACCCCUAAGGCGAGGCCGAAAGGCGUAGUCGAUGGGAAACAGGUUAAUAUUCCUGUACUUGGUGUUACUGCGAAGGGGGGACGGAGAAGGCUAUGUUGGCCGGGCGACGGUUGUCCCGGUUUAAGCGUGUAGGCUGGUUUUCCAGGCAAAUCCGGAAAAUCAAGGCUGAGGCGUGAUGACGAGGCACUACGGUGCUGAAGCAACAAAUGCCCUGCUUCCAGGAAAAGCCUCUAAGCAUCAGGUAACAUCAAAUCGUACCCCAAACCGACACAGGUGGUCAGGUAGAGAAUACCAAGGCGCUUGAGAGAACUCGGGUGAAGGAACUAGGCAAAAUGGUGCCGUAACUUCGGGAGAAGGCACGCUGAUAUGUAGGUGAAGUUGCUCGCGGAUGGAGCUGAAAUCAGUCGAAGAUACCAGCUGGCUGCAACUGUUUAUUAAAAACACAGCACUGUGCAAACACGAAAGUGGACGUAUACGGUGUGACGCCUGCCCGGUGCCGGAAGGUUAAUUGAUGGGGUCAGCGCAAGCGAAGCUCUUGAUCGAAGCCCCGGUAAACGGCGGCCGUAACUAUAACGGUCCUAAGGUAGCGAAAUUCCUUGUCGGGUAAGUUCCGACCUGCACGAAUGGCGUAAUGAUGGCCAGGCUGUCUCCACCCGAGACUCAGUGAAAUUGAACUCGCUGUGAAGAUGCAGUGUACCCGCGGCAAGACGGAAAGACCCCGUGAACCUUUACUAUAGCUUGACACUGAACAUUGAGCCUUGAUGUGUAGGAUAGGUGGGAGGCUUAGAAGUGUGGACGCCAGUCUGCAUGGAGCCGACCUUGAAAUACCACCCUUUAAUGUUUGAUGUUCUAACGUUGACCCGUGAUCCGGGUUGCGGACAGUGUCUGGUGGGUAGUUUGACUGGGGCGGUCUCCUCCUAAAGAGUAACGGAGGAGCACGAAGGUUGGCUAAUCCUGGUCGGACAUCAGGAGGUUAGUGCAAUGGCAUAAGCCAGCUUGACUGCGAGCGUGACGGCGCGAGCAGGUGCGAAAGCAGGUCAUAGUGAUCCGGUGGUUCUGAAUGGAAGGGCCAUCGCUCAACGGAUAAAAGGUACUCCGGGGAUAACAGGCUGAUACCGCCCAAGAGUUCAUAUCGACGGCGGUGUUUGGCACCUCGAUGUCGGCUCAUCACAUCCUGGGGCUGAAGUAGGUCCCAAGGGUAUGGCUGUUCGCCAUUUAAAGUGGUACGCGAGCUGGGUUUAGAACGUCGUGAGACAGUUCGGUCCCUAUCUGCCGUGGGCGCUGGAGAACUGAGGGGGGCUGCUCCUAGUACGAGAGGACCGGAGUGGACGCAUCACUGGUGUUCGGGUUGUCAUGCCAAUGGCACUGCCCGGUAGCUAAAUGCGGAAGAGAUAAGUGCUGAAAGCAUCUAAGCACGAAACUUGCCCCGAGAUGAGUUCUCCCUGAC